CCUUUGUACACACCGCCCGUCGCUACUACCGAUUGAAUGGCUCAGUGAGGCCUUGGGACUGGCUCAGAGAGGUCGGCAACGACCACUCAGAGCCGGAAACUUGGUCAAACUUGGUCAUUUAGAGG
rnacentral:rRNA from 1 species